rnacentral:rRNA from 1 species
UACGGAAGGCAGCAGUGGGGAAUAUUGCACAAUGGGCGAAAGCCUGAUGCAGCUAUGCCGCGUGUAUGAAGAAGGCCUUAGGGUUGUAAAGUACUUUCAGCAGGGAGGAAAGAAAUAAAACUAAUAAUUUUAUUUUGUGACGUUACCUGAAGAAGAAGCACCGGCUAACUCCGUGCCAGCAGCCGCGGUAAUACGGAGGGUGCAAGCGUUAAUCAGAAUUACUGGGCGUAAAAGAGCGCGUAGGUGGUUUUUUUAAAGUCAGAUGUGAAAUCCCUAGGCUUAACCUAGGAACUGCAUUUUGAAACUGAAAAACUAGAGUAUCGUAGAGGGAGGUAGAAUUCUAGGUGUAGCGGUGAAAUGCGUAGAUAUCUGGAGGAAUACCUGUGGCGAAAGCGGCCUCCUAAACGAAUACUGACACUGAGGUGCGAAAGCGUGGGGAGCAAACAGGGAUUAGAUACC